rnacentral:rRNA from 1 species
ACAGUGUCUGGUGGGUAGUUUGACUGGGGCGGUCUCCUCCUAAAGAGUAACGGAGGAGCACGAAGGUUGGCUAAUCCUGGUCGGACAUCAGGAGGUUAGUGCAAUGGCAUAAGCCAGCUUGACUGCGAGCGUGACGGCGCGAGCAGGUGCGAAAGCAGGUCAUAGUGAUCCGGUGGUUCUGAAUGGAAGGGCCAUCGCUCAACGGAUAAAAGGUACUCCGGGGAUAACAGGCUGAUACCGCCCAAGAGUUCAUAUCGACGGCGGUGUUUGGCACCUCGAUGUCGGCUCAUCACAUCCUGGGGCUGAAGUAGGUCCCAAGGGUAUGGCUGUUCGCCAUUUAAAGUGGUACGCGAGCUGGGUUUAGAACGUCGUGAGACAGUUCGGUCCCUAUCUGCCGUGGGCGCUGGAGAACUGAGGGGGGCUGCUCCUAGUACGAGAGGACCGGAGUGGACGCAUCACUGGUGUUCGGGUUGUCAUGCCAAUG